rnacentral:sRNA from 2 species
UGUCCGGAAACCGAAACCCACUCACACACGGCAGGAGCGGGGGACCCAGGUAAGGCGCCGUUCCGUCAUCCGGACCGGCUUGGGGUGAAGCCGCUCAUACCGCGGCCGGGCAGCUCCAGCCCGAACCCGACAGCUCACCUCGCAGGCGACGGAGAGGAAUU